UCACCAUAGCCAUCCAUGCAAAACCUGGCUCC
rnacentral:piRNA from 1 species